rnacentral:sRNA from 1 species
UAAUAAGACCACUGGUGGAGCAUGACU